UACGUAGGCAGCAAGCGUUGUUCGGAAUUACUGGGCGUAAAGAGUGUGUAGGCGGUGCUGUAAGUCUGGUGUGAAAUCUCCCGGCUCAACUGGGAGGGUGCGCCGGAAACUGCAGUGCUUGAGGGUGGGAGAGGUAAGCGGAAUUCCUGGUGUAGCGGUGAAAUGCGUAGAUAUCAGGAGGAACACCGGUGGCGAAGGCGGGUCUCUGGGCCGAUAUUGACGCUGAGGAGCGAAAGCGUGGGGAGCAAACAGG
rnacentral:rRNA from 1 species